rnacentral:rRNA from 1 species
GAUGAACGCUGGCGGCGUGCUUAACACAUGCAAGUCGAACGGAAAGGCCAUGAUCUUGCGGGGUGCUCGUGUGGCGCACGCGUGAGUAUCACGCGAGUAUCAUGCACCUGUCUUUGGGGUAAAUUCACGAAAAUGGGGCUCAUAUCGGAUAGGAGAUCCUGCUGCAUGGUGGGGGUUGGAAAGAUUCGGCGGUUGGGGAUGGAAUAGAGGCUUAUCAGCUUGAUGGGGGAGUAGUGGAUUAAAAAGUCUUUGAAGGGUAGGCGGCCUUAGAGGGUGACCGGCCACAAUAGGACUGAGAUACGGCCCAGUCGCCUACGUGCGGCAGCAGUGGGGAAUAUUGCACAAUGGGCGGAAGCCUGAUGCAGCAACGCCGCGUUCGUAAUGAUGUCUUUCGAGUGAUAAACCGCUUUCUCCUGUGACGAAGCGUUAUUGACGGUAAUUGGUAAAGAAGCACCGGCUAACUACGUG